GACUAAGCGUACACGGUGGAUGCCCUGGCAGUCAGAGGCGAUGAAGGACGUGCUAAUCUGCGAAAAGCGUCGGUAAGGUGAUAUGAACCGUUAUAACCGGCGAUGUCCGAAUGGGGAAACCCAGUGCAAUUCGUUGCACUAUCGUUAACUGAAUACAUAGGUUAACGAGGCGAACCGGGGGAACUGAAACAUCUAAGUACCCCGAGGAAAAGAAAUCAACCGAGAUUCCCCCAGUAGCGGCGAGCGAACGGGGAGCAGCCCAGAGUCUGAAUCAGCUUGUGUGUUAGUGGAACGGUCUGGAAAGUCCGACGGUACAGGGUGAUAGUCCCGUACACCAAAAUGCACAGGCUGUGAACUCGAAGAGUAGGGCGGGACACGUGGUAUCCUGUCUGAAUAUGGGGGGACCAUCCUCCAAGGCUAAAUACUCCUGACUGACCGAUAGUGAACCAGUACCGUGAGGGAAAGGCGAAAAGAACCCCGGCGAGGGGAGUGAAAAAGAACCUGAAACCGUGUACGUACAAGCAGUGGGAGCACCUUCGGGUGUGACUGCGUACCUUUUGUAUAAUGGGUCAGCGACUUAUAUUCUGUAGCAAGGUUAACCGUAUAGGGGAGCCGCAGGGAAACCGAGUCUUAACUGGGCGUUAAGUUGCAGGGUAUAGACCCGAAACCCGGUGAUCUAGCCAUGGGCAGGUUGAAGGUUGGGUAACACUAACUGGAGGACCGAACCGACUAAUGUUGAAAAAUUAGCGGAUGACUUGUGGCUGGGGGUGAAAGGCCAAUCAAACCGGGAGAUAGCUGGUUCUCCCCGAAAGCUAUUUAGGUAGCGCCUCGUGAACUCAUCUUCGGGGGUAGAGCACUGUUUCGGCUAGGGGGUCAUCCCGACUUACCAACCCGAUGCAAACUACGAAUACCGAAGAAUGUUAUCACGGGAGACACACGGCGGGUGCUAACGUCCGUCGUGAAGAGGGAAACAACCCAGACCGCCAGCUAAGGUCCCAAAGUCAUGGUUAAGUGGGAAACGAUGUGGGAAGGCACAGACAGCCAGGAUGUUGGCUUAGAAGCAGCCAUCAUUUAAAGAAAGCGUAAUAGCUCACUGGUCGAGUCGGCCUGCGCGGAAGAUGUAACGGGGCUAAACCAUGCACCGAAGCUGCGGCAGCGACACUAUGUGUUGUUGGGUAGGGGAGCGUUCUGUAAGCCUGCGAAGGUGUGCUGUGAGGCAUGCUGGAGGUAUCAGAAGUGCGAAUGCUGACAUAAGUAACGAUAAAGCGGGUGAAAAGCCCGCUCGCCGGAAGACCAAGGGUUCCUGUCCAACGUUAAUCGGGGCAGGGUGAGUCGACCCCUAAGGCGAGGCCGAAAGGCGUAGUCGAUGGGAAACAGGUUAAUAUUCCUGUACUUGGUGUUACUGCGAAGGGGGGACGGAGAAGGCUAUGUUAGCCGGGCGACGGUUGUCCCGGUUUAAGCAUGUAGGCUGGUUAUCCAGGCAAAUCCGGAUAAUCAAGGCUGAGGUGUGAUGACGAGGCACUACGGUGCUGAAGUAACAAAUGCCCUGCUUCCAGGAAAAGCCUCUAAGCAUCAGGUAACAUCAAAUCGUACCCCAAACCGACACAGGUGGUCAGGUAGAGAAUACCAAGGCGCUUGAGAGAACUCGGGUGAAGGAACUAGGCAAAAUGGUGCCGUAACUUCGGGAGAAGGCACGCUGGUGUGUAGGUGAAGUCCCUGCGGAUGGAGCUGAGACCAGUCGAAGAUACCAGCUGGCUGCAACUGUUUAUUAAAAACACAGCACUGUGCAAACACGAAAGUGGACGUAUACGGUGUGACGCCUGCCCGGUGCCGGAAGGUUAAUUGAUGGGGUUAUCCGUAAGGAGAAGCUCUUGAUCGAAGCCCCGGUAAACGGCGGCCGUAACUAUAACGGUCCUAAGGUAGCGAAAUUCCUUGUCGGGUAAGUUCCGACCUGCACGAAUGGCGUAAUGAUGGCCAGGCUGUCUCCACCCGAGACUCAGUGAAAUUGAACUCGCUGUGAAGAUGCAGUGUACCCGCGGCAAGACGGAAAGACCCCGUGAACCUUUACUAUAGCUUGACACUGAACAUUGAGCCUUGAUGUGUAGGAUAGGUGGGAGGCUUUGAAGCGUGGACGCCAGUCUGCGUGGAGCCAACCUUGAAAUACCACCCUUUAAUGUUUGAUGUUCUAACGUUGGCCCCUUACCGGGGUUGCGGACAGUGUCUGGUGGGUAGUUUGACUGGGGCGGUCUCCUCCCAAAGCGUAACGGAGGAGCACGAAGGUUAGCUAAUCCUGGUCGGACAUCAGGAGGUUAGUGCAAUGGCAUAAGCUAGCUUGACUGCGAGCGUGACGGCGCGAGCAGGUGCGAAAGCAGGUCAUAGUGAUCCGGUGGUUCUGAAUGGAAGGGCCAUCGCUCAACGGAUAAAAGGUACUCCGGGGAUAACAGGCUGAUACCGCCCAAGAGUUCAUAUCGACGGCGGUGUUUGGCACCUCGAUGUCGGCUCAUCACAUCCUGGGGCUGAAGUAGGUCCCAAGGGUAUGGCUGUUCGCCAUUUAAAGUGGUACGCGAGCUGGGUUUAGAACGUCGUGAGACAGUUCGGUCCCUAUCUGCCGUGGGCGCUGGAGAAUUGAGGGGGGCUGCUCCUAGUACGAGAGGACCGGAGUGGACGCAUCACUGGUGUUCGGGUUGUCAUGCCAAUGGCACUGCCCGGUAGCUAAAUGCGGAAGAGAUAAGUGCUGAAAGCAUCUAAGCACGAAACUUGCCCCGAGAUGAGUUCUCCCUGAGACUUUAAGUCUCCUGAAGGAACGUUAAAGACGAUGACGUUGAUAGGCCGGGUGUGUAAGCGCAGCGAUGCGUUGAGCUAACCGGUACUAAUGAACCGUGAGGCUUAACCUUACAACGCCGAAG
rnacentral:rRNA from 1 species